AAGGGCACCACAAGAACGCGUGGAGCAUGUGGCUUAAUUUGACUCAACGCGGGAAAACUUACCGGGUCCGGACACACUGAGGAUUGACAGGCGACCAUUUGUAAAUAUGCUAGUCCUUUCAUGAUUGUGUGAUAGGUGGUGCAUGGCCGUUCUUAGUUCGUGGAGUGAUCUGUCUGCUUAAUUGCGUUUCAGAUUAUGAGGAAGUAUAAGCAGGUCAGUGUGUUUCGGUAAAACGAGACAGCGCUUGACUGAGCUUUUUUGUUGGAUUCACUUUUUUGAGAUUCCUAACUAAGGGGACCGCCAGGUUUCGUAAAACCGGAGGAAGGUUGCGGCAAUAACAGGUCUGUGAUGCCCUUAGAUGUUCCGGGCUGCACACGUGCUACAAUGAUUGUUGCAGAAAGUAUCUAUUACUGAUUGUCCUCGAAGACUUUUUUCUGGUCGGAAAGGACCACGGAUGGUCUGAUUUGCCUUGACUUUCUAUAGUCUAUGUGCUGACGACUGCCGUGAAACCUACCUCGAAAGUUCGGUAGGCAAUCAAUUCCAAGUGACAAUCUCCCCUGCACAAAUCAAAUGCCACCGGGGGUUGAAUUUUAUUUUCUUCAACCGGUUGACAUGUGCUCUAUAAAUUCGUGGUCGGGACAGACCAUUGCUAAUUGUUGGUCUCGGUCUCAACUAGGAAUGCCUUGUACGGGUCUUUGGUUCAACAAACCACCCGGAAUACGUCCCUGCCCUUUGUACACACCGCCCGUCGCUCUUACCGAUGGACUACUCUGUGAGUUUGAGGGACUGGCGUCCACGCCUCGUGUGUGCGAUGCUAUGGAAACUUACACGAACAGUGUGGUCUAAAGGAAAGAGAAGUCG
rnacentral:rRNA from 1 species